UCUGAGCUGUUUCUACCCCCGUUCAGCACGACAGCACCUUAAUUGCUCUUCAAGGAGCCCUGGGCGUUUAUAAUGGUCACCCACCACCAUAUGCUGCCUGUCAUGGAUUUGAAUUCUACCAAGAAACCAAUAACUCCUUCACUGUUGCCAUGUUUUACCGGAAUACUAGUGAUCAGCAACCCCACACACUAACCUUGCCUGGAUGUCCUACACAUUGCCCAUUACCACUCUUCACCAAACUCACUCGUGCAGUUGUUCCACAGGACUGGGAUGCCGAAUGCCAAAACCCUCAGAACCGUACAGGGCACACCGUUACAGCUCUGGCUGUGGCUGUAGGUCUCCUGAGUGUGGCUUUAAUUGGCUUGGGUAUCUUGCACUGGAGAAAGCGACGGGAAGAUGGACCAAUGGCAAUGAACAACUGCCUUCACUAGAACACAAGACAGGCAACAGUUGCUGAGCAUUCAGAGAAAGUGCAGCCCAAUAGGCUGGAGUCUGGACCAACUUUCCCCCAUAGCCCCUUUAUCAAGCCCGGAGUCAAAUGGUUUCAGUUCAGGAGCAUUGCUGAUAUUAAUGCUCGAGGCAAGUUUAGUGUACCAAAUUAGUAGGAAAAAUGGUCUAAAAAAUCAAAAUGGAAAGUAUUGAAAUGCCAUCAUUUG